UUUUUGAUUAUAAUUUAAAGUAGGGCCUGCCCACUGAGAUUUUAAAGGGCCGCAGUAUCUUGACUGUGCAAAGGUAGCAUAAUCAUUAGUUUUUUAAUUGAAAGCUGGAAUGAAUGGUUUGAUGAAAAAAUAACUUUCUUUAUUUUAUUAAGAUAAUUUUAUUUUUAAGUUAAAAAGCUUAAAUAUUUAUAAAAGACGAGAAGACCCUAUAGAGUUUUAUUAUUAGAAAUUUAUUAAUUUAGGAAUUUAGUUUAAUAAUUUUUUAUAUAAUUUGAUUGGGGUGAUUAAAAAAUUUGAUUAACUUUUUUUAUUUUUAAACAUUGAUGUAUGAAUUUUUGAUCCAUUUUUAUUUGAUUAUAAGAAUAAAUUACCUUAGGGAUAACAGCGUUAUUUUCUUUUAGAGUUCAAAUCGAAAGGAAAGAUUGCGACCUCGAUGUUGGAUUAAAAUUAAUUUUAGGUGUAGGAGCUUAAAAAUUAGGUCUGUUCGACCUUUAAAAUUUUACA
rnacentral:rRNA from 1 species